AUUGAACGCUGGCGGCAGGCCUAACACAUGCAAGUCGAACGGUAACAGGAAGAAGCUUGCUUCUUUGCUGACGAGUGGCGGACGGGUGAGUAAUGUCUGGGAAACUGCCUGAUGGAGGGGGAUAACUACUGGAAACGGUAGCUAAUACCGCAUAACGUCGCAAGACCAAAGAGGGGGACCUUCGGGCCUCUUGCCAUCGGAUGUGCCCAGAUGGGAUUAGCUAGUAGGUGGGGUAACGGCUCACCUAGGCGACGAUCCCUAGCUGGUCUGAGAGGAUGACCAGCCACACUGGAACUGAGACACGGUCCAGACUCCUACGGGAGGCAGCAGUGGGGAAUAUUGCACAAUGGGCGCAAGCCUGAUGCAGCCAUGCCGCGUGUAUGAAGAAGGCCUUCGGGUUGUAAAGUACUUUCAGCGGGGAGGAAGGGAGUAAAGUUAAUACCUUUGCUCAUUGACGUUACCCGCAGAAGAAGCACCGGCUAACUCCGUGCCAGCAGCCGCGGUAAUACGGAGGGUGCAAGCGUUAAUCGGAAUUACUGGGCGUAAAGCGCACGCAGGCGGUUUGUUAAGUCAGAUGUGAAAUCCCCGGGCUCAACCUGGGAACUGCAUCUGAUACUGGCAAGCUUGAGUCUCGUAGAGGGGGGUAGAAUUCCAGGUGUAGCGGUGAAAUGCGUAGAGAUCUGGAGGAAUACCGGUGGCGAAGGCGGCCCCCUGGACGAAGACUGACGCUCAGGUGCGAAAGCGUGGGGAGCAAACAGG
rnacentral:rRNA from 3 species